rnacentral:rRNA from 1 species
GACGAACGCUGGCGGCGUGCUUAACACAUGCAAGUCGAACGGAAAGGCCUUUUCGGAGGUACUCGAGUGGCGAACGGGUGAGUAGCACGUGGGUGAUCUGCCCUGCACUCUGGGAUAAGCCUGGGAAACUGGGUCUAUUACCGGUUGGAACGGCACUUAGGGGGGGGGGGGGGAAGGUUUUUUCGGUGUAGGAUGAGCCCGCGGCCUAUCAGCUUGUUGGUGGGGUAAUGGCCUACCAAGGCGGCGACGGGUAGCCGGACUGAGAGGUUGGUCGGCCACAUUGGGACUGAGAUACGGCCCAGACUCCUACGGGAGGCAGCAGUGGGGAAUAUUGCACAAUGGGCGCAAGCCUGAUGCAGCGACGCCGCGUGGGGGAUGGCGGCCUUCGGGUUGUAAACUCCUUUCGCCAGGGACGAAGCGUUUUGUGACGGUACCUGGAGAAGAAGCACCGGCUAACUACGUG